rnacentral:rRNA from 1 species
AAUUCCUACGAGGGGCAGCAGUCGGGAAUAUUGCGCAAUGGAGGAAACUCUGACGCAGUGACGCCGCGUAUAGGAAGAAGUUUUUCGGAAUGUAAACUAUUGUCGUUAGGGAAGAGAAAGGACAGUACCUAAGGAGGAAGCUCCGGCUAACUACGUGCCAGCAGCCGCGGUAAUACGUAGGGAGCGAGCGUUAUCCGGAUUUACUGGGUGUAAAGGGGGCUCAGACGGCGAUGCAAGCCAGGAGUGAAAGCCCGUGGCCCAACCCC